CUAAGCUGCCAGGCUCCAUUCUUAUCUUCUUCGUCUUCAACCUGUACGCAUGAGAGAGAGAGGGAAAGGAAGAGAAAAGGAAAAAGAGAGAAGAGCAGGAGAAUUAAUAGGGAAAAUUGAGUGGAAAUUAGUAGAUUUGAAGAAAUUGAAGCUCCAGCCCGUGAGGAGCUCGAGUGGCCAUGAGUCAAGGAAGGUGUAACGUGCUCAGAAGCUUAAAUUGGUAUUUCGACGGACCUACGACGCGCUAAUUGAGAAACGCUUCGUUCUAACUACGGGUACAUCGAGUCGCGAGGACGUGAUACUUGUGAGCUCCGGGAUAUUGGCUUUAGUAUUUCGGCAUCCUUACAGGUACUUGAACAACACUCCACAGCCUUUCAUCUCAUCUAAUUCUCCCUCUCUUUCUCUCUCAACCCAAGAAGAAAACUAGUGAAGGAAUUGUUGGAGAAAUGGCAUGAGCUUUGGUGUUUUGGUCUUAUUGGAGCUACCGAAGUGGGAAACCCAGCCUUGGAAGCUUCGAACUUAAGGAAGGUGUAACGUGCUCAGAAGCUUAAAUUGGUAUUUCGACGGACCUACGACGCGCUAAUUGAGAAACGCUUCGUUCUAACUACGGGUACAUCGAGUCGCGAGGACGUGAUACUUGUGAGCUCCGGGAUAUUGGCUUUAGUAUUUCGGCAUCCCUAUAGGUUCUAGCUCGUGUGAGGUGAUCGAGGAUCGUGGUAUGGACAGCGUUCCAUAGAUAGUGGACAUCCAUUGAGUAUAGUUGUACCUUAUUUAUUUCAUCUAUUUAUAGUCAAUGAAAGCAAAUGUAAAUUAUUCAUUUGAGAAAUGGCAAUGUAUAUAUUGGAAGAAUGAAUGUAAUAAUUAUGUAAGCUUGGUAUUUGAUUUAAAGUAGUUAAGAUACAA